rnacentral:rRNA from 1 species
GACGAACGCUGGCGGCACGCCUAACACAUGCAAGUCGAACGGACUUACAAGAGCUUGCUUUUUUAAGUUAGUGGCGGACGGGUGAGUAACACGUGAGCAACCUGCCUCUGAGAGGGGGAUAGCUUCUGGAAACGGAUGGUAAUACCCCAUAAAAUAUAAAUAUCGCAUGAUAGAUAUAUCAAAGAAAUUCGCUCAGAGAUGGGCUCGCGUCUGAUUAGAUAGUUGGUGAGGUAACGGCUCACCAAGUCGACGAUCAGUAGCCGGACUGAGAGGUUGAACGGCCACAUUGGGACUGAGACACGGCCCAGACUCCUACGGGAGGCAGCAGUGGGGAAUAUUGCACAAUGGGGGGAACUCUGAUGCAGCGAUGCCGCGUGGAGGAAGAAGGUUUUCGGAUUGUAAACUCCUUUUAUCAGGGACGAUAAUGACGGUACCUGAAGAAAAAGCUCCGGCUAACUACGUG